UACGUAGGGGCUAGCGUUAUCCGGAAUUACUGGGCGUAAAGGGUGCGUAGGUGGUUUCUUAAGUCAGAGGUGAAAGGCUACGGCUCAACCGUAGUAAGCCUUUGAAACUGGAAAACUUGAGUGCAGGAGAGGAGAGUGGAAUUCCUAGUGUAGCGGUGAAAUGCGUAGAUAUUAGGAGGAACACCAGUUGCGAAGGCGGCUCUCUGGACUGUAACUGACACUGAGGCACGAAAGCGUGGGGAGCAAACAGGAUUAGAUACCCCGGUAGUCCCUGAGCGGGCU
rnacentral:rRNA from 1 species